rnacentral:rRNA from 1 species
GAUGAACGCUGGCGGCGUGCCUAACACAUGCAAGUCGAGCGAAGCACUUACUUUAGCUUUCUUCGGAAUGACGAAGUUUGUGACUGAGCGGUGGACGGGUGAGUAACGCGUGGGCAACCUGCCCUGUACAGGGGAUAACAGUUAGAAAUGACUGCUAAUACCGCAUAAGCCCACAGCUUCGCAUGAAGCAGUGGGAAAAACUCCGGUGGUACAGGAUGGGCCCGCGUCUGAUUAGCUAGUUGGUAAGGUAACGGCUUACCAAGGCGACGAUCAGUAGCCGACCUGAGAGGGUGACCGGCCACAUUGGGACUGAGACACGGCCCAAACUCCUACGGGAGGCAGCAGUGGGGAAUAUUGCACAAUGGGGGAAACCCUGAUGCAGCGACGCCGCGUGAGCGAUGAAGUAUUUCGGUAUGUAAAGCUCUAUCAGCAGGGAAGAAAGUGACGGUACCUGACUAAGAAGCCCCGGCUAACUACGUG